rnacentral:rRNA from 1 species
CCCUUAGAUGUCCGGGGCCGCACGCGCGCUACACUGAAGGAAUCAGCGUGGCUUUCUCCCUGACCCGAAAGGGUUGGGAAACCCGUUGAAUCUCCUUCGUGAUAGGGAUUGGGGCUUGAAAUUGUUCCCCAUGAACGAGGAAUUCCCAGUAAGCGCGAGUCAUAAGCUCGCGUUGAUUACGUCUCUGCCCUUUGUACACACCGCCCGUCGCUACUACCGAUUGAACGGUUUAGUGAGGGCCUCGGAUUGGUCUCGGCCCGCUCUUUACCGGGCGGCGCCGUUGGUCGAGAAGACGCUCGAACUUGAUCGUUUAGAGGAAGUAAAAGUCGUAACA